UACAGAGGGUGCAAGCGUUGUUCGGAAUUAUUGGGCGUAAAGGGCGCGUAGGCGGUGCGGUAAGUCUGUAGUGAAAUCUCUGGGCUCAACUCAGAGUCUGCUGCAGAAACUGCCGUGCUUGAGUGUGGGAGAGGUGAGUGGAAUUCCUGGUGUAGCGGUGAAAUGCGCAGAUAUCGGGAGGAACACCAGUAGCGAAGGCGGCACUCUGGGCCGGUACUGGACGCUGAGGAGCGAAAGCGUGGGGAGCAAACAGGG
rnacentral:rRNA from 1 species